GUCUGGAGGCCGUUUUGCAAUGCAGUAACAUGACAAGAGGUGAAGUAUUUGUUGCACCUCUGUAUCCAAUAAAAAAAUGAAGAUUGGUUGGAUCACAAUUAUAAUCACAAUCUUGAUGAUCUUAUUUGUUGUGAAAUUGACUGAUAUUACUUGUUAGAUAUUACUUGACAGAUAUUACUUGUUAGAUAUUACUUGUUAGAUAUUACUUGACAGAUAUUACUUGUUAGAUAUUACUUGUUAGAUAUUACUUGACAGAUAUUACUUGAUAGAUAUUACUUGAUAGAUAUUACUUGACAGAUAUUACUUGUUAGAUAUUACUUGAUAGAUAUUACUUGAUAGAUACUGCUGCACUGUCGGAACUAGAAGCACAAGCAUUUCGCUACACUCGCAAUAACAUCUGCUAACCAUGUGUAUGUGACCAAUUUGAUUUGAUUUGAUUUUGAUGAUAAUAUAUCAUGUUUCAUCUCAAUACCUGAUAGGCCUAUGUGUUGUUUAUGUAUGCUAAUAUUUUUCAUUAUGUUGUUGCACAUACAGAGGCUUACCAUUGUUCAGUGUAUACAGUUCUCUGUACUCUGUACUGUGGAUGGCUGCUGCUAUGGAGUUGACAUUUAGACUAGGUUGUCAUUUCACCACAGAGCUUCUGUAUAUAACCUGUGUAUAUAACCUUGCCCAUUUAAACCUGUACUCUGCAGGCCACGGAACCACAUUGUUUAUUUAUGUACCUUGUCUUCUUGGUAGUGUAGUAUGAGGUGGGUAGGUUUGUGGCGGCUGAUUGACCAGUGAUAGUGUAGUAUGAGGUGGGUAGGUUUGUGGCGGCUGAUUGACCAGUGAUAGUGUAGUAUGAGGUGGGUAAGUUUGUGGCGGCUGAUUGACCAGUGAUAGUGUAGUAUGAGGUGGGUAAGUUUGUGGCGGCUGAUUGACCAGUGAUAGUGUAGUAUGAGGUGGGUAAGUUUGUGGCGGCUGACCAGUGAUAGUGUAGUUUGAGGUGGGUAGGUUUGUAGCGGCUGAUCAGUGAUAGUGUAGUUUGAGGUGGGUAGGUUUGUGGUGGCUGAUCAGUGAUAGUGUAGUAUGAGGUGGGUAGGUUUGUGGCAGCUGGCUGACCAAUGAUAGUGUAGUUUGAGGUGGGUAGGUUUGUGGCGGCUGAUCAGUGAUAGUGUAGUUUGAGGUGGGUAGGUUUGUGGCUGCUGUUUGACCAGUGAUAGUGUAGUUUGAGGUGGGUAGGUUUGGGGCGGCAGGCUGACCAGUGAUAGUGUAGUUUGAGUUGGGUGGGUUUGUGGUGGCUGGCUGGCUGACCAGUGAUAGUGUAGUUUGAGGAGGGUAGGUUUGUGGCGGCUGGCUGACCAGUGAUAGUGUAGUUUGAGGUGGGUAGGUUUGUGGCGGCUGACUGACCAGUGAUAGUGUAGUUUGAGUUGGGUAGGUUUGUGGCGGCUGACCAGUGACAGUGUAGUUUGAGGUGGGUAGGUUUGUGGCGGCUGAUUGACCAGUGAUAGUGUAGUUUGAAGUGGUUAGGUUUGUGGCUGCUGACUGACCAGUGAUAGUGUAGUAUGAGGUGGGUAGGUUUGCGACAGCUGACCAGUGAUAGUUUAGUAUGAGGUGGGUAGGUUUGUGGUGGCUGGCCAAUGAUAGUGUAGUUUGAGGUGGGUAGGUUUGUGGCGGCUGACUGACCAGUGAUAGUGUAGUUUGAGGUGGGUAGGUUUGUGGCGGCUGACCAGUGAUAGUGUAGUAUGAGGUGGGUAGGUUUGUUGCGGCUGACCAAUGAUAGUGUAGUUUGAGGUGGGUAGGUUUGUGGCGGCUGAUUGACCAGUGAUAGUGUAGUUUGAGGUGGGUAGGUUUGUGGCGGCUGACUGACCAGUGAUAGUGUAGUAUGAGGUGGGUAGGUUUGUGGCGGCUGAUUGACCAGUGAUAGUGUAGUAUGAGGUGGGUAGGUGUGUGGCGGCUGGCUGACCAGUGAUAGUGUAGUUUGAGGUGGGUAGGUUUGUGGCUGCUGACCAGUGAUAGUGUAGUUUGAGGUGGGUAGGUUUGUGGCGGCUGGCUGACCAGUGAUAGUGUAGUAUGAGGUAGGUAGGUUUGUGGCGGCUGAUUGACCAGUGAUAGUGUAGUUUGAAGUGGUUAGGUUUGUGGCGGCUGGCUGACCAGUGAUAGUGUAGUAUGAGAUGGGUAGGUUUGUGGCGGCUGACCAAUGAUAGUGUAGUAUGAGGUGGGUAGGUUUGUGGCGGCUGAUUGACCAGUGAUAGUGUAGUAUGAGGUGGGUAGGUGUGUGGCGGCUUGCUGACCAGUGAUAGUGUAGUUUGAGGUGGGUAGGUUUGUGGCGGCUGACUGACCAGUGAAGUGUAGUUUGAGGUGGGUAGGUGUGGGGCAGCUGGCUGACCAGUGAUAGUGUAGUAUGAGGUGGGUAGGUUUGUGGCGGCUGACCAAUGAUAGUGUAGUAUGAGGUGGGUAGGUUUGUGGCAGCUGGCUGACGAGUGAUAGUGUAGUUUGAGGUGGGUAGGUUUGUGGCGGCUAACCAGUGAUAGUGUAGUAUGAGGUGGGUAGGUUUGUGGCGGCUGACCAAUGAUAGUGUAGUAUGAGGUGGGUAGGUUUGUGGCAGCUGGCUGACCAGUGAUAGUGUAGUUUGAGGUGGGUAGGUUUGUGGUGGCUGACCAGUGAUAGUGUAGUUUGAGGUGGGUAGAUUUGUGGCGGCUGACCAGUGAUAGUGUAGUUUGAGGUGGGUAAGUUUCUGGCGGCUGACUGACCAGUGAUAGUGUAGUAUGAGGUGGGUAGGUUUGUGGCGGCUGGCUGACCAUUGAUAGUGUAGUUUGAGGUGGGUAGGUUUGUGGCGGCUGACCAGUGAUAGUGUAGUUUGAGGUGGGUAGGUUUGUGGCGGCUGAUUGACCAGUGAUAGUGUAGUUUGAGGUGGGUGUGUUUGUGGAGGCUGACUGACCAGUGAUAGUGUAGUAUGAGGUGGGUAGGUUUGUGGCGGCUGACCAAUGAUAGUGUAGUAUGAGGUGGGUAGGUUUGUGGCAGCUGGCUGACCAGUGAUAGUGUAGUUUGAGGUGGGUAGGUUUGUGGCGGCUGACCAAUGAUAGUGUAGUUUGAGGUGGGUAGGUUUGUGGCGGCUGAUUGACCAGUGAUCGUGUAGUAUGAGGUGGGUAGGUUUGUGGCGGCUGACUGACCACAAAUAGUGUACUUUGUGGUGGGUAUGUUUGUGGCGGCUGACCAGUGAUAGUGUAGUUAGAGGUGGGUAGGUUUGUGCCCGCUGACCAGUGGUAGUGUAGUUUGAGGUGGGUAGGUUUGUGCCCGCUGACCAGUGAUAGUGUAGUUUGAGGUGGGUAUGUUUGUGGCUGCUGACUAACCAGUGAUAGUGUAGUUUGAGGUGGGUAGGUUUGUGGCGGCUGUCUUACCAGUGGUAGUGUAGUUUGAGGUGGGUAGGUUUGUGGCGGCUAGCUGACCAGUGAUUGUGUAGUUUGGGGUGGGUAGGUUUGUGGCGGCUGGCUGAACAGUGAUAGUAUAGUUUGAGGUUGGUUGUUUUGUAGCGGCUGGCUGACCAGUUAUAGUGUAGUUUGAAGUGGGUAGGUUUGUGGCGGCUGACCAGUGUUAGUGUAGUUUGAGGUGGGUAGGUUUGUGGCGGCUGAUUGACCAGUGAUAGUGUAGUUUGAGGUGGGUAGGUUUGUGGCGGCUGACUGAUCAGUGAUAGUGUAGUAUGAGGUGGGUAGGUUUGUGGCAGCUGGCUGACCAGUGAAGUGUAGUUUGAGGUGGGUAGGUUUGUGGCAGCUGGCUGACCAGUGAUAGUGUAGUUUGAGGUGGUAGGUUUGUGGUGGCUGACCAGUGAUAGUGUAGUUUGAGGUGGGUAGAUUUAUGGCGGCUGACCAGUGAUAGUGUAUUAUGAGGUGGGUAGGUUUGUGGCGGCUGAUUGACCAGUGAUAGUGUAGUAUGAGGUGGGUAGGUUUGUGGCAGCUGGCUGACCAGUGAUAGUGUAGUUUGAGGUGAGUAGGUUUGUGGCGGCUGACCAAUGAUAGUGUAGUUUGAGGUGGAUAGGUUUGUGGCGGCUGAUUGACCAGUGAUAGUGUAGUAUGAGGUGGGUAGGUUUGUGGCGGCUGACUGAACACAAAUAGUGUACUUUUUGGUGGGUAUGUUUGUGGCGGCUGACCAGUGAUAGUGUAGUUUGAGGUGGGUAGGUUUGUGCCCGCUGACCAGUGGUAGUGUAGUUUGAGGUGGGUAGGUUUGUGCCCGCUGACCAGUGAUAGUGUAGUUUGAGGUGGGUAUGUUUGUGGCGGCUGACUAACCAGUGAUAGUGUAGUUUGAGGUGGGUAGGUUUGUGGCGGCUGUCUUACCAGUGGUAGUGUAGUUUGAGGUGGGUAGGUUUGUGGCGGCUGACUGACCAGUGGUAGUGUAGUUUGAGGUGGGUAGGUUUGUGGCGGCUGGCUGAACAGUGAUAGUAUAGUUUGAGGUUGGUUGUUUUGUAGCGGCUGGCUGACCAGUUAUAGUGUAGUUUAAGGUGGGUAGGUUUGUGGCGGCUGAUUGACCAGUGAUAGUGUAGUUUGAGGUGGGUAGGUUUGUGGCGGCUGACUGAUCAGUGAUAGUGUAGUAUGAGGUGGGUAGGUUUGUGGCGGCUGACCAAUGAUAGUGUAGUAUGAGGUGGGUAGGUUUGUGGCAGCUGGCUGACGAGUGAUAGUGUAGUUUGAGGUGGGUAGGUUUGUGGCGGCUGACCAAUGAUAGUGUAGUAUGAGGUGGGUAGGUUUGUGGCAGCUGGCUGACCAGUGAAGUGUAGUUUGAGGUGGGUAGGUUUGUGGCAGCUGGCUGACCAGUGAUAGUGUAGUUUGAGGUGGGAAGGUUUGUGGCGGCUGACUGACCAGUGAUAGUGUAGUUUGAGGUGGGUAGGAUUGUGGUGGCUGACCAGUGAUAGUGUAGUUUGAGGUGGGUAGAUUUGUGGCGGCUGACCAGUGGUAGUGUAUUAUGAGGUGGGUAGGUUUGUGGCGGCUGAUUGACCAGUGAUAGUGUAGUAUGAGGUGGGUAGGUUUGUGCCCGCUGACCAGUGGUAGUGUAGUUUGAGGUGGGUAGGUUUGUGCCCGCUGACCAGUGAUAGUGUAGUUUGAGGUGGGUAUGUUUGUGGCGGCUGACUGACCAGUGAUAGUGUAGUUUGAGGUGGGUAGGUUUGUGGCGGCUGUCUUACCAGUGGUAGUGUAGUUUGAGGUGGGUAGGUUUGUGGCAGCUGACUGACCAGUGGUAGUGUAGUUUGAGGUGGGUAGGUUUGUGGCGGCUAGCUGACCAGUGAUUGUGUAUUUUGGGGUGGGUAGGUUUGUGGCGGCUGGCUGAACAGUGAUAGUAUAGUUUGAGGUUGGUUGUUUUGUAGCGGCUGGCUGACCAGUUAUAGUGUAGUUUAAGGUGGGUAGGUUUGUGGCGGCUGAUUGACCAGUGAUAGUGUAGUUUGAGGUGGGUAGGUUUGUGGCGGCUGACUGAUCAGUGAUAGUGUAGUAUGAGGUGGGUAGGUUUGUGGCGGCUGACCAAUGAUAGUGUAGUAUGAGGUGGGUAGGUUUGUGGCAGCUGGCUGACGAGUGAUAGUGUAGUUUGAGGUGGGAAGGUUUGUGGCGGCUGACUGACCAGUGAUAGUGUAGUUUGAGGUGGGUAGGAUUGUGGUGGCUGACCAGUGAUAGUGUAGUUUGAGGUGGGUAGAUUUAUGGCGGCUGACCAGUGAUAGUGUAUUAUGAGGUGGGUAGGUUUGUGGCGGCUGAUUGACCAGUGAUAGUGUAGUAUGAGGUGGGUAGAUUUGUGGCGGCUGACCAAUGAUAGUGUAGUUUGAGGUGGGUAAGUUUGUGGCGGCUGACCAAUGAUAGUGUAGUUUGAGGUGGGUAGGUUUGUGGCGGCUGAUUGACCAGUGAUAGUGUAGUAUGAGGUGGGUAGAUUUGUGGCGGCUGACCAAUGAUAGUGUAGUUUGAGGUGGGUAGGUUUGUGGCGGCUGACCAGUGAUAGUGUAGUUUGAGGUGGGUAGGUUUGUGGCGGCUGAUUGACCAGUGAUAGUGUAGUUUGAGGUGGGUGUGUUUGUGGAGGCUGACUGACCAGUGAUAGUGUAGUAUGAAGUGGGUAGGUUUGUGGCGGCUGACCAAUGAUAGUGUAGUAUGAGGUGGGUAGCUUUGUGGCAGCUGGCUGACCAGUGAUAGUGUAGUUUGAGGUGGGUAGGUUUGUGGCGGCUGACCAAUGAUAGUGUAGUUUGAGGUGGGUAGGUUUGUGGCGGCUGAUUGACCAGUGAUAGUGUAGUAUGAGGUGGGUAGGUUUGUGGCGGCUGACUGACCACAAAUAGUGUACUUUGUGGUGGGUAUGUUUGUGGCGGCUGACCAGUGAUAGUGUAGUAUGAGGUGGGUAGGUUUGUGCCCGCUGACCAGUGGUAGUGUAGUUUGAGGUGGGUAGGUUUGUGCCCGCUGACCAGUGAUAGUGUAGUUUGAGGUGGGUAUGUUUGUGGCGGCUGACUAACCAGUGGUAGUGUAGUUUGAGGUGGGUAGUUUUCUGGCGGCUGACUGACCAGUGGUAGUGUAGUUUGAGGUGGGUAGGUUUGUGGCCGCUGGCUGACCAGUUAGUGUGGAGUGCUUCAGGGCACCACAGGUUUAAACUGCAUGGUCUCUACCAGUUCAGUUCACCUGAUGGUGGUGAAUCCCUCUAUAGCACAUAUUACCACUCUUCUAUUUUAGAUAUAAAAUUGAACCUUUAUUUAACUAGGCAAGUCAGUUAAGAACAAACUCUUAUUUACAAUGACGGCCUAACCCGGCCGAUGCUGGGACAAAUUGUGCGCCGCCGUAUGGGACUCCCAAUCACGACCUGUUGUGAUACAGCCUGGAAUCGAGCCAUGGUCUGUAGUGACACCUCUAGCACUGAGAGACAGUGCCUUAGACUGCUGCUCCACUCAGGAGAUAUGUGAAUGAUGCAGGCUAGGGGUACGUUCAUUCGUCCAAAUGUUUGAGAUGUUUUCAAAACCUAUUUUCAAUCUGAAUGGUAGAAGACAAAUAGUGCCAUGAUUAUUUCCUGACCAUGUCACCUGACCAGGGACAAACUCCUAGCCCCUAGCUAGUUAUUACCCAUUAACUACAAUUUGUGGCCAGAGUUUUUCCUGGUCAGAUGACAUGGUCAGCAGGAAAAACUCAGCAUCAUUAUUUCAGCAACCAUAACGUCUUCUCUAAAAACCUUUCAAAAUGUUUCUUCCAACGGGGAGCUAAUGAACGCGACCCUAUCCGUUGUGCAGGGAUCUAAUCAUGUGACGGGGAAUUAGGGGGCUGCCAUUUCUCCCUGCACUUCCCUUUGAUCCUGUCCGCCACACACACACACACACACACACACACACACACACACACACACACACACACACACACACACACACACGUAUGCACAGCAUCUCCAACUCACACAUUUAUGCUACCGUGCAUGUGUGCAAAAUGAAGAAAAACGUGAUACACCUUGCCUUUAAAGUGAGGGCUGGGUUUUGAAGUGCCCGGUCUUGCCCUGACUUCCGGAGAUAUUUCCAGGUAUUGUCUGGGUAGGCUAGUCUUUCAUGGUUGACUGAGAGAGUGAUAUAAGAUGAGCCACACCCCUAUACCUGCAGAAAGAAACAGGCUGUGUGUGUGUGUGUGUGUGUGUGUGUGUGUGUGUGUGUGUGUGUGUGUGUGUGUGUGUGUGUGUGUGUGUGUGUGUGUGUGUGCGUGUGUGUCUGUGAGUGUGUGUGUGUGUGUGUGUGUGUGUGUGUGUGUGAAUGUGAUUCUACUCUGAGCAAAACAAGGGGACGAACCCAGUCAAUGACCAAUGAUUGGCAGUCUCUUCAAAAUAUGUGUGUGUACAUGUGUGUUUACAUAGAAGAUGGGCAGUACCCACACACACUGCUUGGCUUCCACUUUCACUUGCAGCUAGAGCAGGGUCCAAGGGUAGAUAGACAGUAGGGCUAGUUAGACCUCACGACAUGAUAUUAUCAGCAUACUUAGGUGCCGAUUCUAUAUGUACUGCGAUUCUCACUAUUCUCCUGAUUCUAUAUGUACU
rnacentral:lncRNA from 1 species